rnacentral:lncRNA from 1 species
CCUUUCGUUUCCGACGGAAACCCUAAUUUCGUGUUCCAAUGAUUCAAUUUCUUGAUCAAUUUUAUCAUUUAGGCGCAUAAUUUGUGCUAGAUUCCUGCUUCUGUAUCUUUCUUGAUUGAAUUCUGUAUAAUUUCCUGGUGGCUUGGAGUUUAAUAACUUCAUUCAAAAGCGGAGAUUUUUUUUCCCUUUUUGAUUUGGAUUGUGUAUUGGGUUUUCAUUGAUUCCGUGAAUUGGGUGCUCAGUUUUACGUAAAUAAUUGGUGCUGGGCUGUUUAGGACUUUGGUUUGACAAGGAAUUCGCUGUGCUAUCAUUUUUAUCGGGCAGUUUUGUGCAAAAAGUUUUGGAAUGAAAUAUUAUUUUGCUUUGUUGGAUUUUUGAUUAAUUUUUUGGUCUAGUAUUCAGAUUUGAUGUUCACCUCUCUUUGUUGAUUGAGAAUCAAGGUCGGAACUGAUGAAUUGCAGCACGUAAAGGAUGGCAUGAAUGAAGUUCUUCUGAUUUUUUUUCCUUUUUUAAAAUACCAUCGAACACCUUUAUUUGUAAAAGAAAACAUGUAUUUAAUUGGAUUCUUUAUGCAAAAAUUGAUCCUUUCUUUAUUCUUAGUGCUCUAAAUUGCAACCUAUGUCCCUAUGUGAUUGGAGUCCCUCCCUACAUCAUUUUCAUNNNNNNNNNNNNNNNNNNNNGUACGUACUCUCUCUCUCUCUCUCUCUCUCUCUCUCUCUCUCUGUGUGAGAUAUGAGGUUUAUGUUGGUGGAGGCUCGUACACCAGAUUUCUCUUGUAUCGUUAUGCUUGAUUUCAUUUCAGGUGGGUGUUCCCCCUCGACUCGAUUAAUUCUAAAUUAGACAACAUGGUUUUGAAGUGUCUUUAUUUGAGACAUGAGAAGGGUGAAAAAGGUUCAACCUCAUUGUUGAAAACUUGGAAUUUGCUUUUUACUACCUUUUUGUGGUAAUUGGAAAUAAAAAAACAUGAAGCCAUCUUAAAGAGGUUUUCUUUCUUUGAAAUCUUAAAAAUGCAAACUUCAUAUAGUUUAAUGGGAAAUUACGUUGAAAUAAUGUCACCAAGGGAUCCUAUAGAUCUGAUUAUGAGCAUUGGAAACAUACAUAACCUAAUCUAAGAGAAAGAUGUUUAAACAAUUUGUCUUAAGUCAAUACAACUUGAGAAUUAUUGAUAAAUAUAUAUCUCUAGCAGGGCCUUGUGUUACUUAAGGGUGAGUUCUCUCUUUCCUUCCCAGCAUCACAUCAACCCUUUCCACUACCAUGCUCUGACUAAAGGGCUUGCUUAUCUUCCCCCAUUUGAGGAGAAAGCCACACAUGAUCAAGAUAGACUUCUGAAACUGGCUCCCGCAUUAGCCUUCUAAAACUGACAUAAGUCCGAACCCAAUGUCGUACCUUUUGCUCCUUUGGUCAACCUUUGACAUGCACUUAAUCAAGUACAUGUUAGAUAGGGCCAUGGCAUGUGUAUCACCUAGUCUUAUUGUUCGAAGGUCUUAUUGUGGAGUGUGAAUGAGUUUCGUUGAUCCAGGUGGAUAAAUUUAGAAAAAACAACCAAUCUCUGGAAAUUCGUUUCACAAAUUCCAAAAGUUUUCCUAACCCCAUUUGCUUGAGAGCUUUAGAAGUUCGGAGUUCCGGAGUAAUUCAACGAUGUUGAACAUUUUAGAAUUCGGAAAAACUUUUGGUAACUUUGAAAAAAUAUGGAAGAAGUUUGGCAACUUAACUCGAUAAAUAAUAAUAUAUAUUUUAAUCACAUAUUUAUCUCGUAGAACUUGGUAGCACUUGGUGGUAAUGUGGAAGUGAGAAUGUAACUCUGUAAUGUAUGAACCAAUCCAUUAUUUGCAUAUGAAGAAUGUGGAAACAUCACUUCUCCAUGUCAAGUGAUAUAUAAUCCUGAAUCUAGUCAUUCUGUAGGUUCCUUAAGAGGCUUUUUGUUUGACGAAAGGGCCUUAAUUCUUUUUGCCUAAGGCAGCAAAAUUUGAUGAAAGCAAUGUAUUCUUGGUUCUGUGCAAGAGGCAGAUGCGUGUUGUUCUCCGGGUUGUUGUAGUUAAAUCCCUUAGCUUAUAAGGCAACAGAUGGAAGUGUAUCAGUAACUGACUCAUUUGUCAUAUUUCAUGAUUCUGCAUUCUUUUUCUAUACUCCAGUUACCUCAAGUUCAUCAUGGGAGAACCAAACUGAUUCUUUUUAGUAAACUGCAACUUCAGACCAUGAAAAUCACCUGAUCACUUCAUUUCUGUUAUGAAUUGCAUUUGUUUAAGAAGCUGACUCAGACAGCUAAUACAUGCUGACAACAACUAUACUUUCAAAAAUACAGCAGCAUAUCUUGCUGGAAUGCUUCAAAGCAAGACUCCAAAUGCCUUUCACGUUCUUGAUCCUUGCCAAAUUGGUGAACCAAUCCAUGGCACCAUUUACUUUGUCCUCAAUACGAGUGUUCAUGUAUCUCCACGCAUGUAAAGUAGGGUGGGGUCUGUCUGGUCAAUGAAGCUGUCCUUGUAGAUAGCCCACGGCAGUGGGUCAAUCCAUUCAACCCAGAUUUUUCAUGACCUUUUUGUUUGGCCGCAAAAGAUUCUGAAUACACAAAUUUCCAAUUUUUGUGUACCAGUAAUCCAAGAUGAUUCUACCAUCACAAAUUUAUACAUAUGACUUGCACUCCAUCUAGCUCUUUUUUUUUUUAAUUAUUAGUUCAUUCUAACUAAUUUUGAUAAUUCCAUUAAGUGGAUACUGCCACAUUCUUUUCCUCUCUCUCUCUCUCUCUCUAGACNNNNNNNNNNNNNNNNNNNNCCUUCUCUCUCUCUCUCUCUCUAGACUGGCUAUCACUUACCCUAUUAUGUUUUGUUACUUCCCUGGCAGUUUUCCAAGCUAUAUGCCUGCUUGCUUUCAUAAAUAUGAAAGCAUUUUCAUCCUUAGUCCUUGUAUGUUCCAGCACUUAUGAGCAUUGCAUAUAGCCUACUUUCAAAUGAUAAAUAUCAUUCUCUCAUGCUUGCCAUAAGAUAUUGCAAAUAGUUCACAUUAGUUCACAGGUUUUAACUCUGAAACCUUCAUAAAUUUAAGCGAUUCGGUUCCAUCUUCUGAUCACAUGCCUUGUAGUAUGAAUGCUUUUUAAUUUGUAACAGAUAUUAGAUGGGUCAUCGAGUUAUCUUUAUCAAAAAUGAUUUUCGGAUCAUGCACUGAUUAGGUACAUAUAUUAGUUUUUGGUAUGCAUACUACAACAAUUUUUACAGUGUACAACUAAAUCUCAUCUUUUUGUAAAAUAUAGUCAGUCUAACUAAAUUUUCUUCCUUCAUGGUAUUUUGUUAGGAUAAAAACCAAUAUCAACUGCACAUUGUAGAGUACAUCUACAGCCAGCUCUUUCUGUGCAUUAUGGAACAACAAAAUGUACGUGAUAUUCUGGUCAUUUGGAGGGGCAGGGAGCUUAAGGUGGAUGUGAACCAACACUCUAAGGUCAGAGAGCUUGGGCAGAAGCUUCAGAUAUUGACUAAUGUCAAACCAGAUACUAUGAGGCUUCUUGUUCCACAGUCUACCAACAAAAGGUCGAAAUUGAUUACUCCAUUUUCUGAUGUCCACUCGAGUUUAAGCUUGCAAGAAGUUUCUAUUCUUGAGGUAAGAAUUACACUUCACCCACACCAUACAGUUCAUAUUUUAAUGUAUUUGGUUCAGAGCAAAAAAAAGAAAAGAAAAGAAAAGAGGUUGCUGACAUUUAAAUUUGUUCCAUGCUUUGUUGUUAUGGUUAACUGACAUGUUGCUAAGGAGGAGUUUAUCUAUGUUUUCAACUUUGACUCUGUCUUUUCUAGACCUGAAGUUGAUGUUGUAUAUUAUCCUGUUCAAGAAAGCUCUAUGAGGCCCUUGGAAGAUAGGGCCUAGCCCGUAUUUUGUAUUUUGAUGCUUCACGGUGUACUCGCAAUUCAUAGUGAGAUGCCGAUUUACCAAAAAAAAAAAAGAAGAUAGGGGAUGGGUAACUGAGUAGCAGUGAGUAGAACACUCCUUUGAGUUGUAUGCAUGUAAUCUGUAAGCUGCCCUAUCUUCAUGCUUGUGUAUGAUACUUUAUCUGUCAGAUCACAGGGAACCCUUUUUUCCCCCCAAGGUACCCUCUCACAUACUCUGAGCUUUAUGAAAAAGGGUACACAUGAGAAGAAACAUGAAGCUAUUUAGGAAAUGAAUAUAUGUAGUUGGCAAUGGAUGUAUUCAGUUUGAGGUUUUAAAAGCAACUAAUAAAUGAAUACUGAUCAUGGUCAAUUUGAUCAACCUGUUCCACUUCUGUGCCAGAAUGAAACCCUCAGCCUUUGGUAUGUACUCUGUAUGUAGAUUUGGUCCUCAUCUUCACUCUUCAGUGAUAGUAUUAGUGAUUUACUGUGGUAUAUAGAAUUUAAACAAUCUUGUUCUUGUCAAACAAUCUUGAAUAUUAAAUUGAUUGAUAUAUUGGUUACAUCUUACGAAUAAAAAAAAAUGUGCAUAUAUAUAUAUAUGCUGAAAUUAAUUGUGAUUAAAUUUUAUUGUUUGCUGAUUCAUGUAACUACGUUCAACUAUGUUUGCCUGCUGCUGCUUGUUGAAAAAUGCAAUAUGCUGGCUUGUUUUUCCUUUGCAGGGAAAGCCCAUUAGAAUGAUGGGUGUUUUUGAUGAUGAAAUUGAGGAGGUUUCACAAAAUGGUAGGAAGCCAGAUUUAAGGAUACUUGGGUUUGACGAGGAGGAAAAGCGACUGAGACAACGAAUGCUGAAUAAGCCUCAAGUUUCUCUGAAACUUCCACAAGGAUCCUACAUCUUUUGUGAUUUUCGCACGCUUAACAUUCCAGGGAUUGAGGUUUGAUUCUUAUUUGCUCAAGCUGUAAACUGACAAUAUAAUUGGUGCAGCUUCAUUUUCUUUAGGUUCUCUGGUCAUGGUGGUCAUAGACCGCUAUCAAUCUGUUGUAGUCAAUAAAGAUUACAAAUCUCUGGAGCUUGACUUUUCAUCUUUGGUUCUCUUGACUAAUUCUUCUCAAAAAGGCUUUGACAAACAAUCUGGAAAAUUAUUUCAUGGCAAUGCCACUCUUCUUGACUGGUUACUGUUUUUACCUCAGUUGAAUCCUCCACCUUCAGAGGCACUGAGAAGAAUGCACAUGCUUGCCUGUGACCCUGGAAUUAUUGCUGUCAUGAACAAGGUAAUGGCUGUCCCUUACAGAUUAACAUUUAUUCAUCAUUUUCCCCCCUGGUAUAGCAUCUAACAUUAGAUACUUUCGGCUAUUCUCUUAGCAUCGAUGGCGGGUAGGAAUUAUGACUGAAAUGGCACCUGUCGGAUAUGUAGGCAUCAGUCCGAAAUGCCUUCUAGGUUUCAAUAAGGUAAAAAUCUUGUCGCAUCAUUUGCUUAUAGCUCAAUGAAAGUAGAUGGUGAUAAGGGUUGGAUCACAAGAAUGAGAAAAAUAGUAUUCAUUGCAUUAACUCGUCUUUUGGAUAUUUUGUUUCCCUUGGUUGGUGCAGAAUCAAGGGGAGGAAAUAUCGCUUCGUCUUCGAACUGACAAUCUUAAAGGGUUUAGAAAAUACGAAAGCAUCAAGGGAACUCUGCUGCACGAACUUGUAUGUAACUCAUUUUUGCAACUUGAAGUUGUUACUAACUUUGAUAAUUAUUUUCAUGACUCAAAACUGUUAUUCAUCCACCUUCUCUUGUGCUACGCCAUCUUUUGUUUAUCUCAGGCACACAUGGUGUAUUCUGAACAUGAUGCAAACUUUUUUGCUCUAAAUAAACAGGUAGUCAUGGUGUGCACACUUUGGAUUUAGUAUAUAGAUGGGCAUAUUUCACCAUUUUUGUCUAAUUAUAUUGAUUUUGAUACAGUUGAAUGAAGAAGCUACCAGCUUAGACUGGACAAAAUCAAGAAGUCACACCCUGAGCGGUCACAAGAUCACUGAUCAUUAUGAGGAAGAGCUUUAUCUUGGAGUAAGCAGCAAUGAUAAAGGUCAAAAGCUUGGAGGAACAUCUAAUUCAUUGGUUAGCGUCCGUGCUUCAUCUGUGGCUGCUGCCUACAGUCGUUUCUUAAGUGCCCCCUCUAUUACUGGUUUGGUGGGAGACGAAGAAACUGCUCAUCAUUCUUUGAAUAAUGACCACAAAAUGUUGACAACAAUUGAACCGAAUCCUGAUGAUGGUGAGCUAAAAGGCGAUCUGGAAAAUAAACAUGCUGAACCUGACCCAGAUGAUGCACAAGCUAUGGAAAAUGAUGUUAUGCAUGCUGAUUUCAUCAUGGACAACAGUAAUCUCUCUUCUGAAUCUUCUAUGCUUGAUGAGUAUGGUGAGCCAGAUCCUGAUGAUCGCUUAGAUAAUGGAAGGAUAUUUGAACCUGAUCCUGAUGAUUCCCAUGCUGUGGGUUCUUUGGUGCCUAGUGAUGAACCUGAUCCAGAUGAUUCCCUUGUUGGUGAGGUUAUGAAAUCUUUUGAAGAACCUGGUUCAGAUCAUAUCAGGCCAAACAAGAUGAGCGAGAAUUGCCAAAAUAUGUCUGAACCUGAUCCUGAUGCUCCUACAGCUACUGGAACAAUCAAGGAUGCAAAACAAAUGGGAUAUACCUAUGUGCGAGAGAACUUUGCGGAACCUGAUCCUGAUGAGCACGCUACGGAAAUGGCUUUGAAAACUGGCAACAUUAUGGAACCUUGCGCUCAAGAUCUGCAGGCAACUGAAACUUUGGAGGCUGAGCUUGAUCCACAUGACCAUAUGGGUGGCUUGGACAACCAAGAACUACAAAGAAUCGAAGAGCCUGUAGCUGCUAUUUGUACACGUCUUCAGAGGGCCAUUGAAAUGUUAAGAUCUGAAGCGACACCUGCAGAGGCUACAUCGGCGCUUAAAACACUUUUCAAGAUCAUCUGGUAUUCUAAUCUUACUUGCAUCAUGUGCGAUUCAUAUCUCUCUGGAAAUUUUUCUGACCCUGUUAUAUUUACUCAUAGGAAUGUGAUAGAUCACCCUAAUGAGGUGAAAUUCAGAAGACUAAGAAAGGUACUCUUGCCUAUUAUUUUAUCUUAUCUUUCCUCCGAGCUGUUCUGGAGGGAGAUCCAACCGUGCAUAUAUUUGGAGAUUUAGUUGGUCACUUUCCAUGAGCUUGCACAUUUUACUAAUGAGCUAAUUCUUUUCAAACUUGUAGGCCAAUCCCCAGUUCCAAAGGAAUGUGGCAAAUUAUAAAGGUUGGGACCUUGCCGAUCUACUUAUUUAUUUCUUAUUUAUGAAUUUACUUUUUUACAUUUCUAUACCACCGAAUUUUGUCUGUGGCCUGAAGUUAGAUUUGCUUGGUAUUAUUUAUAUUGAUAUGAUUUUGCUUAACAGCUGCCUUGGAAGUUCUCACUCUGGUUGGCUUCUGCGAAGAUGUCAUAUCAGAUGAACUUGGGCGAGCAGAAACUUACUUGGUGUUGAAAAGGAAUGAUCCUGGCUUGCUGUGGCUUGCGAAGUCUUCUUUGGAAGUUUCUAUAGUCUAGUGAUCAUUAGCUUAAAAUCACAUUAGUUCCUAAACAAAUCAUAUGCUGUAGAUACCAAGGCAAGUCUGUUUAUGCGCGUUGGAUGCGAUUACAUGUAUAAACUGAUGGGCUUGAUUUUGAAAUGAUAUGUAAGUAAAAAGUGAAGGUGCAUACUCGCAUUUGUUUUUUAUUAUAACAGAAGAAAUCAUGGAAGGGAGCUUUGCAGGAGUUAUUGAUUGUUGUGUUACCUUGCUGUUAAUCUAGGAUGGAGGUACUGAAAGUGUUUGGGCACUUGUAACCUUAUUAAUUUUUGAGAUGGAAACCAUGAACAUUUUCUAGUUUAGAGUGGUCAGCAGCAACAUCUGGUGACGUUUGACAACCAAGUUUGUGCCUUUUGUAUGCAAGAAAUGAGAUGACUGUUGUCAAUUUGAUGACAUUGGUUCUUGGUGUUAGCCAAAGUCCAAUAUGAUUGAUUCAGGAUUUCCUCAUCGACCCGGCAACCUAAUGCCCGUUGUUUGCGCUUGGGGCAGUCAUCUGCGAUGUAAGUAACUCUCCAUGCCAUAAAGCUCUCCAGAAAACGUAAACUGGGAAGCAAAGUAUGCCGGAAAGUGCAAGAUAUAAAACUGUUUACAAAAAAUAACAAGAAUGAGAAAAGGUGGGAGAAAGUUGAAGGUUUGAAAGAUAUGAAUGGCAAAAUUUUAAUAUGAGUUGAGACCACCGAGUUAGCUAUCAACAUUAGUUUUUGACAGCGAUGGCCGUAGGUAAUCCUUUUUUCUGCAGUGUUUGUUAUUAAUAUGAGCACUAUCUGGAGAGAAGUAAGUAUGGUGCAUUUGGCAUGCAACUUUUUUUUUCUUCCCUUGCAUUAAAAAAGGGAGAAAAAUCCAAGAUUGCAGUGGCCAUUUUCUAAUGACAAUUACUGCAAAAACAAAGAAGUUGUUUGCUAAUGAUCCACCAUGUGCAUCUCACUAGCUAUUCUAGCUUGGUCAUCACCUGAGCACAGAUGAGCUAUUGGGAUUCAUCUAGGAUUGAAAAAUUAAAUGUUAACUCCCAAGGCAAAUACAAUUCCAGUCCGCAUGGAAGUCGUCGGUCCCAUUGAUCCAUUACUCCUGCUCAGGUGAAUUGCUCAAAGAAAUUGAAAAUUUCUAAUGACAGAGUCUCUGCUUACAUGACUAUGGAAAAUGGAAGUCUUUCCGCAGUCAUAUUAACUUGAAUAAAGUUAAGUAUGUAGCCCACACAAAAUAAACCUAUCAAUUCAAGUGGAAAAAAGAUAUCACAAAGCAAAAAUGCAGAAAAGGCCUCAAAGAUAAAAUAGAAAAAAAAGGCCUCUCUUAGUAAAUUUGCCUUAGGCCUCCGAAUGCAUAGGGCCACUCCUGUUGUCAGGCUCCAUAAACCUACAAAAUACUCUAAAUUUUUGUUUGAGAAGUUCCCACCGGAUUUGGCAGGAUCGAAAGGAAGAGAGCACACGAGAGGAAAAGAGCAAAGGAAAUAGAUGCCAAUGCCACCUUUACCUAUUUAAUCACAUGAUCAAGUUCCAUUUUUGUUUCAAACAUACAAGCAUUGAAAGCUAACACGGUCAAGCCUGAAUUCAUCCACAUCUGAUACCCAUGCCUCCUAGUUUGUAUCGAGCAUGCGUCGUCGAUAGAGUGAAUCAUGAAACAAAUUGUCAAUAAUCAAACAUACACAUGACCUCUCACACCAUGCAUGGCUGUUAAGUUUCUGUUAUCCAUUACUCGAUUACUCUCAUUGGGAGACAUGGGACCAGCCGUCCCUAUCAUGCUGGACAUACCGUACAAAACUCCUUAGAUGUUGAUUAAAGGAUUUGUUUGAUGCAAGUAAUGAUGGUAAUUUAUGAUCCACCUAAUCUGUUUUGACCCAUUUAAUAAUUAAGUUAGAACAUUACUCAACUUAUUUAAUAUGUACAGCUUAAUUUGGCUCUGAUCGUAAUUCGAUCAGCUUAACAUAUUUAAUCUAUUUAAAUUCAUUUAAUUCAUUAAAAAUAUAUUUAAUCUAACUUGAUCUAUCUAAUAAAUAAAUUAUAUAAAUAGGGUCGAUUACAUACUUAAUAAAUAGAUUGAAUUUAAAUUUAAAACUUAAAUUUAUUUAAUAAAUAGAUGGAUUCGAAUUGAUAAAUUCUUGCUCCAUUCAAUUUUUAUAAGAUCCCAUUGCUGCCCGGAUGCUGGGCUUAGGUUAAAAUCCAGCGGUUCGAACAAGGUCAAAAUUCUAUCAACCUGUGUACCUUUGCUUUAAAGACGUGGGCCUACGCCUAUGAUUGGGGCUUGUACGAAAGCACGUGGACUGACCACGUGCCGCGCUCCAGCGUGGCCCCCACCACAUCAGAACCACAGAAGGACAAAGAUGAUGCCCCCAAAAGAAAGUUGACCCAAGUCACAAGGUACCGCCACCGCCCGCAGCCGCGCUCUACCCCAAAAGCUUCGUCAUCAUAUUCGUGGCACGAAUCUUAAUUCAUAGUGUGCGGCUAUCCGCUAUCAGAUUGGUGGAAAAGUUAUAUCCUACGGUUCACAUCCCGUGGUCUCUCUUUGCCUACGGCGUGUCGGUCACGUUACGGGUUUGCAGACGUUUGACGGACGGGAGGGCAAUCAAGUGGAUUCCAGAUAUGAAUUGCAUACUAAACGUAUCCAUGUUUAUUUUUAAAGUAUAUAGAUAUAAAUCAAACAUUAAGUAUAUUUUCUCCAUUAUAAUAUGGAUAUAAGUUGAAUAAAUUUUAAAAUAUAUAAAUCAGAUUUUAAGUAAAAUUUAAUAAUGAAAACUAGCAAAAAUUAUAUAAUCAGAAGGAUGAGAACAAAAUUUACUAUCAAGAUUGCACAUGAUACUGAGUAACUAUGUAUAAAAUUUACAUGGAGACCAAUUUGGUUAAAAAAUCUGAUUACUAAUAUAACCUAUUUUAUAUUAAAAAUAAUCUUUAUGAAUAAGAUAUCUAAUUUAAGUAUUAAAAAAUUGUUCUAAAUACCACCAUUGCUCUUUAAUUAUAGUAUAAAUAGAAACAUGAAUUGUCUACAUUGUAACAACAUACAUGAAAAAUUCUAUAUAUAAGAACAUAUUAAAGUUAUUGAUUUUUUAAAUAAUUUUAAUACUUUUGAUUCUAGUAAUGCUACAAGGUCAUUACCAAAACGUUUGUUUGAAUAGUUUAAUUUCCACAUGACUUGAGAGGAUUGUAUAGGGCCCUUGCCCUUUCGCAUUUUUUUUUGAUUAAGGCUAAACAAAACUUAUUAAGGUGGUUAUUAACUUAUCGCCUAAUAGAAAAUGCAAGGAGUAUUAUUUAUAAAUCACUAGUCCCAAUAAUUAUCUCCAUCUACUUCACGAUCAUGUUUGUAGGGGUGUGUACGAUGCGGAUCAGGUCAAUUUAAGAUUAUUUUUUGAAACUGAACGAACUUAAAUCGAUUUUCUAAAACUGAAAUUGAAACCAAGCUGACCUAAUAUGAAAAUUGAUUUAAAUUGCCUCGAAAAAAUCAAUUUGGUUCGGUUUACUUUGUGGUAAUACUACCGGGACCUCGGCGAUUUAUGACCACAACGUCGCAAGAGAAUAUUCAACGGUGACAACAACCUCAAAAGGCUAUAUAUGACGUCAAGUCUCGACUCAGAAAAAUUCCAGCCUACAUAUUUAUGGAAUAGGUUUGUUUUUGAUGGUUCUACUUGAGGAUCUAGGAUGUGUUGGGGCUACAUGGCUUGUGCUGGUGGAAGUGGAGAAGAAAAGAAACCAUCAAAUAAUAUUUCAAAAGUCGAAGAAUUAUUCAUAACCAAAUGUAAAGUAACUGGGUGGAAAAUUAAAGCUAAGAAUUCUUAGUAUUCCAAAUUACCAAAAGGCUUGGGACAUUACCUUUAAAGAGCCAACUACAACAAAAGGAGCCGAUGGCUAGGAAUGAUUUUUGAGGUGCAUAGAGGUGACGAUGAUGUGGAGAGUCAUCAAACACUUGUAGGAUCUCAUUUCUAGCACCAAAGUGAGCGACCUAGAGACCCAGAGGAUAAGAAAGAGAAGGGAUUAAGGCUGAGAAGAGGGAAGGGGAGAAAAGGAGGAGGCUUUGGGUUUGAGGAGGGUCUAGUAGAUUUCUAGAUGACCAUUGAUGAUUGGUUAGAGAGAUGAGAUUGGAAGGAAUCUAAUAGAAAAAUUUAAAAUGCUGUUUCCAUUUAGUCACACAUUGACUAUUGACACGAUGCCUCGUCUCUUUAAAAGAAAUAAUCCUUAUCAAUCUUAUUGUCCAGCCUGAUAGUGAGAAUUUGGGGUAUUUGGUGUUUGGGUGUGUAGAUAUGCUCGGUUUGGGUGUGACCAGCAUACGAGUAUAUAUGUGGGUCGAUUCGAUUUAAGUAUUUUUUUUUAAAAUUUAAAUUUAAACUAAAAUUGAAUUGAUUUUUUUAGUUUCAAAAAAUUUUACACCAAAAUUAGACCAAAUAUGGACAAUUUGUCCCAACCAAACCAAAAUAACUGGUUCAAAUUAGUUUUAUGGUUUCCCCAUGUGAUUGUGCUUGUGGACCCUACUUUACCUGUGACUCAGCCUUGGGGUGCAGAGUUGGGUUCUGGUUAUAUCGGUUUCUGAAAUAUUUCGCGUUUAGUAGGCCUCCCGGGAUUCGUGUCACGUGGCUGGUCGCAUCAAUCGCGACGCACGAGGCGUCGCGAUUUACCGGGCCGUUGGAUUCCAUUACGUGGACGGUGAAGAGAAUGCCUGCGAACGCCGGCACAUGCGAGGUCAACCGGUUCCACCAUGGUCAAUCGGUCCUUUUGCAUCCGCACCAUGUCCGAGAAGCAGCGCUCCGGCCACUGCUGCGCUCCGCUCCACUUAGUUCCCCCUUUCUCCCCCCUCUUGAUCACAUUUUGCUUCGGUUGUGAGAAACAGAGGAUCCCUCGGAUCCCAACUCAAGAUCUCGAAGCCCCAGCUCUGCAGUUGUCUCCCAGGUGAGCUUUCCAGCGGUUUUUCUCGCAUUGCCCUUGCUUUGGCGAGCUGGAGCUCUCUUUCUUCUCGUGAUCUCGUGAAUUUCUACUCUUCUUUGCCUUUUUCUGACCACAUUGAUCUCGAGUUGGUGGAGAUCGAGAUCUCGAUGUUUUCAUGAUAUAUUUGCAAUGGAUGUGGUUUUUUGGGUUGCUCUGGUGGUGGUUUUUGAUGCAAAGAGGGUUUCUGCUGUUGAAAUGCUCUAAUGUUGUUUCUGUUGCUUUCGAUCUUGUGAUUGAGCAGGAUGCAACUUUGAUGCGUAGUUUUUGGAGCAGGUUUGAAGAUUUUGUAGUUGAUCUUGACUUCUUCUUUUUUUUUCACGGAAUUUUUAGUACAUUUUUGUAAUUUAGAAUUAAAUUUGGUCAUGGCUAGGGUUUACGUUGUGGGAUUUCUUGUUCUUGGAUCAAUUUGUUGAUGAAUUUGUCUUUUCUUAUUCUCUUUUACCCUCUGGUAAGUUUAAAUUGACAAGAACCGAAAAUGUUAACUUAAAAUCUUGCUUAUGGUAUCGCCAUCUGGAACCACUGGGCGUAUAAUUGUAAAACUGAGAUUAAUGAGCCACCGACGUGCAAUCUAAUAUCGAGAUGAUCUUUAAGAAUGUUGAUCUCCAAUCUUUGGCAUUUUGCAUACCAUGCUGUACGGAAUUCAAUGUCUUUGCGUCAGUGUGGUCAAAAUAGGAUAAUUUGUUUGCGAUCCAAGCAACAAAUUUAGUUUUUUUUUCAAUAGCAUAUGGUAUGGUUGUCGGGCUGGGACUCGUAGCUGGUUGUCAGUGGGGCCCAGCCCUGCUACCCUUCUGAUGAGAAUUGGACGGUUGUCUUUCAAUGAAGAAUGUUCUAUGUGGUCAUUACAUGUGUAGUUGUUCCCUCUCUUACAAGCAUGGUCUCUUUUGUGCUAGCAGAAUAUGAAUAUUUUGCAUGAUUAGUUAAUAUAUUCAUUUUUCUUGCCUAGCUUUAGAUUAGUAACUGGUUCUGGCUUCAUUCUGUUGCUGCAGAACUUGAUUUUCCUGAGGUGAUUUUAUUAUCUUGAAUUUUACCUGACAAGCAAGUAUAUCAUUUGCAGGCUUGCCAGAGAUCUCUGUCCUUUUGGUUUACUAAGGUAUAUAGAUCUGGUUCUCAUUUCUUUGUUUUCCCAUCUACUCCCGUGCAGCUGCAGCAACUUUGUUUAUUAGCUCUUCCUCGAAUGCAGGUCACAUUGAGCCAUAGAUGGCAAUCACAGGUACCCAAAAUCCUGUAUCUGGUGAAAGUACCUGUGGAUCUUUGCUGCAGCAGUUGCAGGUAAUUCGGUUUACGUCACUGCUUUUAUGCCACAAUUUGAGGGAAUGAGGUUGAUCAAAUGACUCGCCUUUUGUUUCAGCUAAUCUGGGAUGAAGUUGGUGAGAGUGAAGAGGAACGUGAUAAAAUGCUUCUUCAACUAGACCAGGAGUGUUUGGAUGUCUACAAGAGGAAAGUUGAUCAUGCUUCAAGGUCAAGGGAUGUCCUUCUGCAGAGCUUGGAUGAUGCGAAAGCUGAGCUUGCGAGACUUCUUUCUGCCCUUGGAGAAAAGACCAAUGUCAACACUGUGAGUAAAAAUUAAUUUUGCAUUCGUUGUUUCUCUUAACAAUAUGUAAUUGCACUCCCUGGUGUUAAUUUCUUAUAUACCAACACUUUGAAUCAUGGGAUGUGGCACUUGUUGAUUGAUUCUUUUACAAUUCAGUAUCAUCAUCUUCCUUUGCCAGCACCUAGCAACGACUACAUAAAUAUCUUAUAAUAUUUUUAAAAUUGUGCUGAAUAACUAAAAAUUUUUGAUCAUGUGCAUCUAACUGUAUUUCCUUUUUUUUUUUUACGAUCAGUUGAAUAAAUUUUCAUCCUUGAUGUUCAUUUGGGUGUAAGAAGCAGUGCACUUAAUGUAACCUUGAAAUUUAGCUUAAUUAAUCAAAUGUCAACACACAAUCUCUACACUCUCCAGACUAUGUUUUGAAUUUUACCUAUAAUAAGUUGCACCAAACCAUUUAAUAUUUACAUAUAAAUGUUUAUUUACAUAACUGAUAACACCCUCAACCCCCAAUACCUCUGCAUCCUCCAUGUCUCUGGAACAAAAAAAGAAAAAAGAAAAAAAAAAAAACAAACUACCUCCUCCCUUUUCUCUAACCAACUUUCUCAUCCAAAGCUCAUUCCGCUCACCACAUUCAUGUAACACAGAUGUAUCUAUAUGCAUGGUCAUGCCAUUUUUGUUUCAUCUUAUGCAUGUAUUCAAAAACAUCCCCUCAUUGGGUUUUUGGAGUUGGCUAUUACUGAUUAUAUGGUUAUCCCUCUGCCUAGAGCAAGUUAAUAUUGAUGUAUUCAGACAAUCUAUCACUCAUAUCUUGAUCUUGCCAAUGAUGAAUUUUCUUCUGUAAUUACUGCACUGCACUUUUUGUUGAUGUCUACUUUUGAAAGAUGUGUUGUAAGACAUUGUUAUGUUGUAUCUUUAAUUUAUAUGGAACUAAGCAUAACACAUGCAUACACCGCUUUUUAAAAGUAAAAAGACCUCAAUACAAUGUAUAAUUAUGUGAUACAGUUUGUAUAAUUAAACGUUAGGUCGGGCUAAUUCACUGCUGUUUCUCGAUGUACCACAGCCUGAGAAGUCAUCUGGCACAAUCAAAGAGCAGUUGGCAGCUAUAGCACCAGCAUUGGAACAGUUAGGCAAGCAGAAAGAGGAGAGGAUGAAGGAGUUUGCUGAUGUACGGUCGCAAAUUCAGAAAAUAUGUGGUGAAAUUGCUGGCAAUUUAAAAAUUGGAGAACUGGUGGGGACACCUACAGUUGAUGAGGAUGAUUUGUCCUUGAAAAAGUUAAAUGAGUACCAAACCCAACUCCAAGAACUUCAAAAAGAAAAGGUCUCGUUAUGGCUUUUCUGUUGAUGUUGGUCAUGCGAACUUAUUUUAUUAAGAUCACAAAAUAUGUUCUAACAUCUGCAAUGCUGUUUGGGCAGAGUGAUAGGCUGCACAAAGUUCUUGACUUUGUAAGCACAGUACAUGAUCUCUGUGCUGUAUUAGGGAUGGAUUUAUACAGUACUAUAACUGAAGUUCAUCCCAGCUUAGAUGACUCUCUUGGUGCGCAAUCCAAGAGCAUUAGUAAUGAUACCUUAUCAAAGCUUGCUAGGACAGUUGUAGCACUUGAAGAAGAUAAAAAGAUGAGACUGCAAAAGGUAAUUCUUGCAUUCAAUCUUUUCACUUAGUUUUACUUUUUAUGGGCAUGCUAUUGGUGCUUUAUCUUCUAUAGCUUUUUGGAAGAACAUUUUAUAUAGUAUGCGGCACUAACGUCAUAUUGUAGGUCAAUUAGUGUGGAAAGUUCUGUACAAGUCAUACCCUACUAUUGGUUUCAGCUUUGUAGGUAAUUCUUGGCCAUGCAUUCCUAUUGCAAGUAUAUCCUUUGUGACUGCCAACUUUUUUUAAAUGCAACUUCAUAUAGAAAUUCUCAAGUCUUCCCCUACAUGUAAACUGUCAAUAUGAAUUCAAGCCUUUCUUGUUGGGACAUCUCAAGUCUUUGUUGCACAUGCCCAUUCCAUUGCAAUCUGUACUCGUUCAGUGCAACUCCUAUGUGUCUUCUUGUUCACAUAUUCCUGACCCUUUUCGUUCUUAUAAUACUGCACAACCAUUUACAUUUUGCCUGUGUCAUACAUUUAGUCAUGCACAUAUUCUGUGUGCAACUUUUUUGCUGCUAACUUUAUAUAGUACCUCAUUCUUUUAGUAUCCAUAUUUCUUCCCAUCAUAUUUUGCAAUUUUCAUUCCCAUGUCUCAUGCUAUGCAGAUAAACAUGCACAUUUCUUCUGUAAGUAGGAAAUUGAUAUUAGUAUAUUACCAUUGAGUACUACUGUUGGAAAAAGCAAGAUUUGGAAAAUCAAGGCCUUUGUGUGGACAAUCAUCUUUUGUAGAAUCUUCAUUGGGUUAAACAUUACAGCAAGGAAAAUGAAUAUCGACAGCGGAUGCAUGCAUAUGUCUGUACUCUAAUUUUACAUUCUGCUGCAGAACUUUUGACUCCCAAUGGCAGAGUUUGGCGAUUCUUAGACUUAGCUUCUAGUUCUGGAACCCACCGAAAAGAAAAAAAAACAUGGAAAGAUUUGAACAGAGAAUCAUAAGGUUUUUCUGUCAAAUACCUUGAUUGUCAUUUCAUUUCAUUUUCUGAAGCAUCAAUCAACAUUAGUUGCCUUUUUGUCCCCACAAGAUACAUAUGCUUAAUGAUUGUUUUACAUCACAAAGUGAUAAUGCUUAGUCUGCUUAACUCCAUUCCUUUCAAAUUUGGCUUUAAAUUGCCUUAGUUGUUGUUCUUUUAUAAUCCACCUCUAUAUGCUUUACAUAUGUACCUUGCCAUCUUGUAUGCAUCUAUCAUAUCGUUGUCAUACAUUAACGGUGUAUGCAUUUGUUCCAGCAAUAUUGAUGAGUCCUCUGUAUUCACCCUAGCCAUAAGCUUUUUUUCCUUUCUUUUUUCAGCGAUAUGCUGCAAUUCCAUUCAAUAUGAGUUAAAAACAUAGAUUGCACCAGAUGUGCUCAAGACUUAUUGGAGAUCAUUUAAGUGAUAUCAGUUUUCAUUUUCCUCUCCCCAAUUUUGUUUGAGCCUUUUCUCUUAUUUAGGUUUGUUUAGUUCGGUAUUUAAUGCUAAUUUAUAUAAAUUUGUGGAUUUAAGUACUUGAGAGAGGACACAUUGUUUUAUCAAAAAUGGAUAUUUGUUUUCAAUAUUUUUUGGGAUGCUAGAUUUAUGUCUUGAGUGUUCAACUUGUCUACUUCUUGUUAGAGAGGAACUACAAUUAGAUGGUGGGAAAUGGGAGAGAAAGUGUGUUCUUAGCACACCCUAAUAUGCCAGAGAUGAGAAAAUCAUUGUACUAGAGUGAAGGGAAUCAUAUAACCAAAAAGCUAGAUAGCUUUCUAUUAGCAAUUCAUCUUCUUAAAUUCCUAUUUGGAAGAUCUGUCAAGUCAUUAGCCUGUAGAUGGUCUUUCAAAUGUGGUGCUAAAGGCAUUUUAUCUCCAAAAGCCCAAUUUUUAGGUUACAAUGGAACCGAUUCAUGUGAUGCUGUACAACAAAAGCUGUCUUUUUGUCAAAGAUAUUGCCAGUGGUGCUGAGGAAAGCAAGGAAAUCAUCAUUUUAACGUCUCUAUUGACAAAAUUCAUUUUCGAAAUGUUUGGAUUUCCUAGAGAGCUCCAGUUGUAGUGGCACUUUUAUGAUAUCUUGAGGAGAGCUUAGUAAUAUUACUUCUAGCCACCAGUUUGAUGAGCACUUAUAAACUCAGUGGGCUCCUUUGAACUAUCAAACUCCAACAGACAACACCAGUCUAAAUUUUUGGCUCUAUAGACACCUCAUUUUUUUGAAUAUUUUUUUGAAUUUUUUAUUAAAUUUUUUAGGUUGCAGAUUAAAGUUCUCUCCAGUAAGAAUUAUAUAUAUUUUAAAUGGAUGGGCUAUGGAAUUGAAUUUAUCUUCUCCAGGGGUGACUAAUCUUGAAUGCAAUGCAUGGAGGCCAUACACAUUUCCUCUUUCAAUUUGAGAUUCAGCUCCACAUCAGGAGGAGUCAACUCCAACUUUAUGUUAUAUCCUUGUUAUCAAUUUAACAAUAUCCAUGCUCUAGAUGACCUUGAAUGCUAAAUGGAAUGAGCUGGAAUUAUUUGCCUUAUCAUGGUUAUAUAUUGAGUUAUAAAUUAAGAUGGCAUCAUAGAGCUACAGUAAAACCGAAAGAAGCAUUAUAUAAAACUCAUCUGCUCAUGCAGCGGUAACUCUUUGGCACUUAUAUAGAGUUAUUACACAUAUGUGUUUCCCUGAUAAUACAACUUUUACUUGCUUUAUUUUAUGGUUAUUUGAUAUGGAUGUGAUGACCGAUUUUUAUUCAAAACUCAGCUUCAACAAUUAGCAACUCAGCUUUCUGAUCUUUGGAAUCUGAUGGAUACCCCUAUGGAAGAACGGAGUCUGUUUGAUCAUGUGACCUGUAAUAUAUCUGCUGAAGUAGAUGAAGUCACUGUGCCAGGAGCUCUUGCCCUUGAUCUGAUUGAACAAGUAAACAAUUUCUACCAUUUUAUACUUUUUACCAGUAUAUGCAAAUGUUCUUGGUCCUGCUGAACCUUGUCCAUGCUUGCUGUUUUAUGUGUAGGCUGAAGUUGAAGUUGAAAGGUUAGAUCAGCUAAAGUUCAGCAAGAUGAAGGAAAUAGCUCUAAAGAAACAAAGCGAACUCGAAGAUAUUUAUGCCCGUGCUCACAGAGCAAUUGACUCAGUGGCUGCCCGGGAGAGAAUAAUCGCUCUAAUUGACUCGGGAAAUGUCGAACCGUCAGAAUUAAUAGCUGACAUGGAUAAUCAUAUACUGGAAGCCAAAGAAGAGGCCCUGAGCAGAAAGGAAAUAUUAGAUAAGGUAGAGAGAUGGAUGUCAGCAUGUGAAGAAGAGAGCUGGCUAGAAGACUACAACCGGGUAAAUAGGUUUCUUCUUCUUACAAGGAAAUAGAUGUCCAUACGAAUGUAGCAUAGACAAACUUCCUGCAGUGCAUUCAGUUAAUUGUUUGUCUCUCUCACAUUAACAUUUCUGUCUCAGGAUGAAAACAGGUAUAGCUCAGGCAGAGGUGCACAUUUAAACCUCAAGCGUGCAGAAAAAGCUCGUAUUUUGGUUAAUAAAAUUCCAGGUACUUAAUGCCACAUAGAAAUGCCAUAAAUGCAUGUCAAGAAAUUUCAUCAAGAAAUAUUACUACAAUUCACUUUAUUAAUAAAGGGAAUAAUUCAAAACCUAUUUCUUGAAACUCUCAGGCCCUUUUCCAACUAUGUGUGACUGGCAGAGAGGAAAAGUGCAAAAAAGCCAUUGGACUACCAGUAUCUUUGUUUUGUCGUUGCAUGUUUUUCUGUAUGCUUGUAUGCAUCAUGUUAUUAUGCAAAUUCAUAGGGCUGACCUGUGAAUAAAAUAAGCGACCAUUGCACCUGUAACUGCAUACAUAAUUAUGUGUGAGGUGAAGUCCUUACGGGCAUGGAUGGAGUCUUGCUUAUGCGCGGGCAUUAAUUUUAUGGCAAAGCCCUUUCCACAUGAUUGUACGAGUCUCUGAGUAAGGUCAAGGUCCUGGAAAGGAGUACAUUAGAAAUGAAAGCCCAUCAGGUUUUUCCAUGGGAAUCAAAUAGAUUUAUUCUUAAAGUGGGCUAGUGCAAUUCUUUUUUCAGGAAGUAAUUACACUAUUAUGUCUCUAACAUAAUCCUUUCUUAUACCAAUCAAAACCAAAAUAGGAUAUCCUGUCAUCAAAGCUAUGGAAGGCUCGACUCCUUUUUUU